rnacentral:tRNA from 1 species
GGACUUUUAGUUUAAUUAUGAAUAUUUCCGUUACGUGGAGGUGGAGUUAAAGUCUU